CUUCAGGCCUGUCUGCCACGGGUCUGCCUGUAGAAGGGCACCUCUCGGUUAUAUCGGAUUACUUAAAUACGUAGCACAUCUGAUCUCAAGAUGGUCUUUUUGCCUCAACAGAUUUCCAAAGUUCAAGAAUUGCAUGGUCCCUGGAUGCCCAUUGGAUGCUCCCUGCCCGAAGUCCCAUAGCAUUUGGGAAAGUACCGUGGUAAAGAGUGUUUUACCUGGAGUCAGGCAGGUUCAAGGCGAUGAUGUUCUGGAAUUGGCUCACACCAGCUUGCGAAAGAGGAUUGUUAAAUCCUCAGGAAUUCUAUCACAGAUGUGAGUCUGGGUGUGGAUCUGACAUCUUGCAACCACAAAGUGACAAGUGAGAGGAGAAAGGUCACACCCUAAGCUGAAAGACAGGAGGUGUCUGGCCUUUGAUGGCACAGCCUGGGACACCCUGCCCCCAGGCUGCUGGUUGGUGGACUUCUGUAAUAUGUCCCUGAAUGUGAUCCCUAACGAGGGUCCUGGGCCACACAACUCAACCAUUAGCAACUCCAGUUUCCUUAUCUAUAAAACAAAGAAUCUAAUAAGAAGAAUCUAAUCCAUCGGAUUGGUCCGAGGCUUGAAUAAGAUAAUGCAUAUGAAGAGCCUGCCAUAGCCCUUGGCACAUGGGAAGCAGCAAGAACUUGGAUUCAUGCUGGAAACACAAGAAAGGACCCUGCCUAGCUGUGAUGUGAAGAAGGGAAGCAUGAGGAUUCUCACACAAGGAUGAACCAAGUACUGCGGGCGGACAAUGGAAGAGACGGGAGGUUAAGAGAAGUCUUCCUGGGAGAAAAAGCAUUUGGCACAGGCUUUAAGAAAUGGUGGGUUGGAUUGUCUGUUAAGAAGACACCAGGGGACACCUGGGUGGCCCAGUGGUUGAGCAUCUGCCUUUGGCUCAAGGCGUGAUCCCAGGGUCCUAGGAUCGAGUCCCCCAUCCGUCUCCGUGC